rnacentral:lncRNA from 1 species
CUCAGGAGGGUUUCUCAAGGUAAUACCAUUCAUGCUGGCUAUCCUCAGUAGGUAAAACUUGUAUCUAACUAUGUUGCGCCCCCUUUGCAGUCUAAGUCUUUGUAUACAUCUUACGAUGCUUCUAAACUGCUCCCUUAUUGUGUCCCUAUCCCUAGAAGCAACAUGUUCGAACAAGUGUCUUUCAAACCAACGGACUCUAUUAUGACAAGACUUCUUUUUCAGGUAGUCAUCCUUGUUGUUGUUGUAACUAACAUAGUAUGUAAAGUUAUUCAUAUCACUUGUUCCACACUGUGUGCAUGUAUCUGCUCCAUCUAUUAUUACAAUAGACUUACUACCACAUUCGCUACAUACUGGAUCAUAUGUAUGUUUUAUCUUUAUUCUACUCUCUACGUACUUCCUCACAGCAGCCUCUAAC